AUUGAACGCUGGCGGCAGGCCUAACACAUGCAAGUCGAGCGAGCGGCGGACGGGUGAGUAAUGUCUGGGAAACUGCCUGAUGGAGGGGGAUAACUACUGGAAACGGUAGCUAAUACCGCAUACCAUCAGAUGUGCCCAGAUGGGAUUGGCUAGUAGGUGGGGUAACGGCUCACCUAGGCGACGAUCCCUAGCUGGUCGGAGAGGAUGACCAGCCACACUGGAACGGAGACACGGUCCAGAGUCCUAAGGGAGGCAGCGGUGGGAAAAAUUGGACAGUGGGCGCGAGCCUGAUGCAGCCAUGCCGCGUGUGUGAAGAAGGCCUUCGGGUUGGAAGGCACUUUCAGCGGGGAGGCGUUACCCGCAGAAGAAGCACCGGCUAACUCCGUGCCAGCAGCCGCGGUAAUAC
rnacentral:rRNA from 1 species